UACAGAGGGGGCAAGCGUUGUUCGGAAUUACUGGGCGUAAAGGGUGCGUAGGCGGCCUUCUAAGUCGAACGUGAAAUCCCCGGGCUCAACCCGGGAACUGCGUCCGAUACUGGAAGGCUUGAAUCCGGGAGAGGGAUGCGGAAUUCCAGGUGUAGCGGUGAAAUGCGUAGAUAUCUGGAGGAACACCGGUGGCGAAGGCGGCAUCCUGGACCGGUAUUGACGCUGAGGCGCGAAAGCCAGGGGAGCAAACGGG
rnacentral:rRNA from 1 species